rnacentral:misc_RNA from 1 species
GAUGAAGAACGCAGCGAAAUGCGACAAGUAAUGUGAAUUGCAGAAUUCCGUGAAUCAUCGAAUCUUUGAACGCACAUUGCGCCCCCUGGUAUUCCGGGGGGCAUGCCUGUCCGAGCGUCAUUGCUGCCCUCAAGCACGGCUUGUGUGUUGGGCCCCGUCCUCCGAUUCCGGGGGACGGGCCCGAAAGGCAGCGGCGGCACCGCGUCCGGUCCUCGAGCGUAUGGGGCUUUGUCACCCGCUCUGUAGGCCCGGCCGGCGCUUGCCGAUCAACCCAAAUUUUUAUCCAGGUUGACCUCGGAUCAGGUAGGGAUACCCGCUGAACUUAAGCAUAUCAAUAAGCGGAGGA